AGUGAACGCUGGCGGUAGGCCUAACACAUGCAAGUCGAACGGCAGCACAGUAAGAGCUUGCUCUUACGGGUGGCGAGUGGCGGACGAGUGAGGAAUACAUCGGAAUCUACUUUUUCGUGGGGGAUAACGUAGGGAAACUUACGCUAAUACCGCAUACGACCCACGGGUGAAAGCAGGGGAUCUUCGGACCUUGCGCGAUUGAAUGAGCCGAUGUCGGAUUAGCUAGUUGGCGGGGUAAAGGCCCACCAAGGCGACGAUCCGUAGCUGGUCUGAGAGGAUGAUCAGCCACACUGGAACUGAGACACGGUCCAGACUCCUAUGGGAGGCAGCAGUGGGGAAUAUUGGACAAUGGGCGCAAGCCUGAUCCAGCCAUACCGCGUGGGUGAAGAAGGCCUUCGGGUUGUAAAGCCCUUUUGUUGGGAAAGAAAAGCAGCAGGUUAAUACCCCGCUGUUCUGACGGUACCCAAAGAAUAAGCACCGGCUAACUUCGUG
rnacentral:rRNA from 1 species